rnacentral:rRNA from 1 species
AUUGAACGCUGGCGGCAGGCCUAACACAUGCAAGUCGAGCGGAGCGGCGGACGGGUGAGUAAUGCCUAGGACUCUGCCUGGUAGUGGGGGAUAACGACCGGAAACGGGCGCUAAUACCGCAUACUAUCAGAUAAGCCUAGGUCGGAUUAGCUAGUUGGUGUGGUAAAGGACUACCAAGGCGGCGAUCCGUCACUGGUCUGAGAGGAUGAUCAGUCACCCUGGAACUGAGACACGUUCCAGACUCCUACGUGAGGCAGUAGUGGGGAAUAUUGGACAAUGGGCGAAAGCCUGAUCCAGCCCUGCCGCGUGGGUGAAGAAGGUCUUCGGAUUGUAAAGCACUUUAAGUUGGGAGGCGUUACCAACAGAAUAAGCAACGGCUAACUUCGUGCCAGCAGCCGCGGUAAUUC